UCAACAUUUAUUAUAAGCAGCACAAGACUUUAACAGCCAAUGACAUUUACAGCAGGGGAGACUAGACUGAUUUUCUACUGUUUAGUGUUAAUCAUCUAACUCACUCAGCCAGAUAAGAGCUACAUUUAUCCUUAGAUGUUAUAUGAAUAUGGUCCCUGGAGCACAGGUUUUAUCUGAUGGGAUUUUUUUAAAUGCACAUUUAAGAGAACCUGCAAUAAUCCCCUGCUGUUACGUUAUUGAUCACAUUUGUGCUACAUUUACUUACCAGGUAAUGUUAAGAUUAAGGAUAUGCCGGUAUCCUAAGUGGCUGUUUAAAUCAAUUAAAUACGUUUCAGAAACAGAAAGUGCAGCUGCUUUGUUUCCAGGGUUUUCAGGGUAGCUGCUGCAUUUCUGCUGUUCAGCGCCACCUGGUGUCAGAGAGUGAAAGUCCGCUUGGCUUUCAUUCAGAGCAUCUCUCAUGUGCUCCACCAUGUGCUUCUUAUCUGUGCUAUCUGUGCAUCAGAGUCCACGUCUUUUGCCCAGUUGAUGGGAAAAGUAUUCUUAAAUUGCAUUCACAAUUCUGUAUAAUUUGUAAUAAUUCAGCGCGGCGGGGAUAAACAUAAGCAUUGACUAGAGUGGCCGCGAUUAGCAAUUAUUCCCCUGUUCUUUCAUUUAUAUUUACUUGUAUUCAUUUAGCAGGUGCUUUUAUUCAAAUGACACACAAAAGAUGAAUAUCAAAAGAACACAAUGACAGUUUAUCAUUCAUAUGAUUAGCUGUCUGUGAAUUCCCUGAAAAAUACAUCUGAUGUUGUCCUUGCCACGUGUAGCCAUGUGUAACCUUUCUUGUGGUUUUUUUUUUUGUUUUCCCUGUUGUAAAAUGAGAAAGGAAUUAUAACAGAAACCAUUUACAUAAAAGUCCAGAUUCUUGUUUAAAUUGCAGUGCGAGGUGGAAGGUAGAAAAUACUUGUGUUAAACUAAAUUCAGUACUCAGCAAGGAGUUUGUAGGGUGCUCUCUCCACACAUCAAAUACAGCAGCAGUUAUACUCUAACAGAAAUCAGUAAGAUAUGUCUUUACUUCAGGUUUCAGUAUUCUGAUCUUCUAAAGCAUAUAAACAUGAUGCACCAUGAAGUGUAACUGUUGAACAGUUUAUGUUUUUAUAGUUAUUUGUGAUUUAACCUUUACAGUACUUCACUCACCCUCUUUUCUGUUUGAUUAUAGAUCUGGGAGUUUUACCUGCAAACCCAUGUGAGAUUGCUGUAUGAUUCAUCUGCUCCAUGAAACAAGAAGCACAAAAUGACGACCUCUGCAGAUGAUUUAUUUAGUUCCCAGAUAUGUGUAUAUUCUAUAAUCUAUCAAAACUGCUUCCUCUCCUCUUCGUGAACAUUGUGCUUUGUGUGGCAGCAUGUAAUAAUGCAGAAUAUGAAAUUAAUGGAGAGUGUUGCCCAAUGUGUGAUCCAGGAAAGCGAGUUCUUAAACACUGUGAUGAGUUCAUGACCACAACAUGUGAUUCAUGUCCCAUGAUGACUUACACUGAUGCUCCGAAUGGAUUUAUAGAAUGUCUGCCCUGUUCUGUCUGUGAUACAAGUAAUGGGCUGAGAGUAAAGCAGGCAUGUACAUUAACAUCAGAUACAGUGUGUGUACCUCUGCCUGGUUAUUACUGUAUAGACUUGCUCUAUAACUGUAAAAGAGCCAUGAAACAUUCAUCCUGCUCACCUGGACAAUACAUCAACCAAACCGG